CCUUAUUCUGAUAACACCUACUACCUGCACCGGUAGCUACAGACUAACUACGACAGAACUGCACUGAACAAAAAUCCCUACACCCACCUAAUCCUAUCGCCCCUCCCCAUUCCCCUCUUCUCUGCUCCUCAACCCACGGCCGCCGCCCCACCUCCCGCGAAACCUCUCUCUCUCCCCCUCGACCUCCUGGUUCCAGCGCCGCGCCGCCGCCCCACCUGCCUACCUCGCGCCACCGCCCCUUCCCCCGCGCCGCCGCCAUCUGCCUACCCCGCGCCGCCCACUUCCCCCCGCGCGGCCGCCCCACCUGCCUAUGUCGCGCCGCCGAGCCGCCUCGUUUCCCUGCGCCGCCGCCCACGAGCUUCCCCCAACCCCGCUACCUUCCUCCGGCGAAGCCCACCGGGCCACUACACCGCCACCACCUUCCUCCCUGGUUCUUUAUUCCCCGCCGGAUCGGCCCACCGCGGCUCCCCUCGCGGCUUCCCCCACCACUGGAUCCGAUGCACGCCGACAAGAAAUCACCGGAUCCCGUGCCGCGUCGUCUUCCCGACGACGGAUGCGCCUAGCGGGGCCGGUGAGCUCGGGGGUCGCCCCACCACGCGUCGCCUGAUCCCGCCCUACCACGCGCCGGCGCCGCCCCGCACCACCACGCACAACCGCCGCCCAUGUACAGCGCCGCUACACGCCGGAUCCAGAGGGAUCCGUCGAUCCCCGCCUUGAACGCCCACGUCGAGGGCCGCCCCACCUCCACCAUCCCGUGCCACCAGCCGAGCACAUCCGCAUCAGGGAGGACGCGCGCGCGAGGUUCACCUUCCUCUCUUCGGCGGGUCGUCCUCCAGUAGGCGCCCAUGUCGAUGAUUUGCGCGUUGCACAGCCCCUGUGGUCGCCGGAUCCGGCCGCCUCCAUCUUCCCCUGGUCACCUGCCUUGCCCCUUCCUCCCGCUCGUUGCCGGAUACGGGUUUCCCCUAGCCCCAUGCGCACCGAUGGCCCCAGCGGGCAGAUGCGAGGCUCUCGCCUCUGAUCUGCAUCUCCCCCCGAGCAGUACAGUCAGACAAUGUCCGUCCGGAUUGGUGUCACAAUCGUCUUCAGUGCAGUGCCGCAGUGCACGGCAGUGCAGUUUAGGUUUCAGAGUCCCAUCGAAGGCCUCGUGGUGCUAUCCUCACUUAAUAUUUGGUGUGCAUUGUUGUUCAAUCAUUUUUGUUGCUGGUGGAUGCGCAUCCUUGGCUGCUUGCAGUUGGCUAGGGCCAUUGAGGAACUUAUCUGGUGUCUUCAGGCAGCACAUGUUUUCUUAAAAUGGAGGCAACACAUGUUUACUAGAGGAGGAUAAGUUGAUGCAGUUCGCCCGACCGAGGCUUGUGGUUCGCGAGUCCAUUUUUAGUCAAACAAAGUCAACUUUUUGUGUGAUUUUUUUUGCCGUUCACUUCUCGUAUGGGAAAAAGUUCACUUUCACUUGAUGUGGUCCCACAAGAGGUUCACUUCUUUUAUUAAUGCACUUUGUUUUGUUUGUAAGACGAUUAGAAAAAAGGUGUCAAAGUUCACUAGCAAAAGGAGUUUACUUUGUAAAAAAUUGUACAGAGGAGUUCACUUUUUAUUACUUUUGGAGGAAUUGUUUUUUUGUAA